rnacentral:lncRNA from 1 species
CUCUGAUGCAGAGUAAGGGAUUUACGAUGGCUAAAGGCUUUCCCACAAACAUUACAUUCAUAAGGUUUCUCACCAGUAUGACAUCUCUGAUGACAAAUCAAGGAUGCCCUCUGCCUGAAUGCCUUCCCACAUUCAAGACAUUCAUACGGUCUUUUGCCAGUGUGGAGUCUCUGAUGUUGAACAAGAUAUGAGCCAUCACUAAAGGCCUUCCCACAUUCAAUACAUUCAUAAGGCUUCUCACCAGUAUGAACUCUCUGGUGCUGAACAAGGUGUGCAAUCUGACUGAAGGCCUUACCACAUUCCUUACAUUCAUAAGGUUUCUCCCCAGUGUGUAUUUUCUGAUGUUGCGCGAGGUGUGCAUUCUGGCUGAAGGUUUUGCUGCAUUCCUUACAUUCAUAUGGUUUCUUUCCAGAAUGGAUUCUCUGAUGUACACUAAGGGAUUGACGAUGACUAAAGGCUUUGCCACACACACUACAUUCAUAAGGUUUUUCUCCAGUAUGACUUCUGCGAUGACAAAUAAGGGAGGAUUUUGUCUUGAAUGCCUUUCCACACUCAAUACAUUCAUAAGGUCUUUGGCCAGUGUGCAGUCUUUGAUGUUGAGUACAGGAUGAGUUAUCACCAAAGGCCUUCCCACAUUCCAUACAUUUAUAGGGUUUCUCACCAGUGUGAACUCUCUGAUGUUGAAUGAGGUGUGUGGUCUGGCUGAAGGCUUUACCACAUUCCUUGCACUCAUAUGGUUUCUCUCCUGUAUGGGUUUUCUGAUGCUGUGCAAGGUGAGCCUUCUGGGUGAACGCUUUACUACAAACCUUACAUUCAUAGGGCUUCUCUCCAGUAUGGAUUCUCUGAUGAGUGGCAAGCUGAGAACUGAUGCUGAAGGAUUUUCCACACUCCGCACAUUCAAAAGGCUUCUCCCCAGUAUGAAUCCUUAAAUGACUGGCAAGGUGUAUAUUCUGCCUAAAAGCUUUUCCGCACUCUUUACACUUAAAAGGCUUUUCUCCAGAAUGUACUCUUUGAUGUUGAGUGAGGGAUGCAUGAUGGCUGAAGGCUUUUCUGCAAACAUCACAUUCAUAUGGUUUUUCUCCGGUAUGAAUCCUUUGAUGUACAGUAAGGGAGGAACCAUACCUGAAGGAUUUGUGACAUACAUCACAUUUGUAAGGUUUCUCUCCAGUAUGAAUUCUCCUGUGUUGAUUAAGCCCUAUGUGGUCACUGAAGGCUUUCCCACAAUCGAUGCAAUCAAAGGGUUUCUCCCCAGUAUGAUAGUAUCUCCAGUGACGGAUAAGGGAUGUGUUCUGUAUGAAAGCUUUCCCACACUCAAUGCACUCAUAGGGCUUCUUGCCAGUGUGACAUCUCUGGUGUCGGGCAAAGGAUGAGCCGUCACUAAAGGCCUUCCCACAUUCAUUACAUUUAUAAGGUUUCUCUCCAGUGUGAAUUCUCUGAUGAACAGUAAGAGAUGAGCUCUGGGUAAAAGUUUUCUUACAUUCAUUACACUUGAAAAGCUUUUUUCCUGCAUAGAUGCCUGUUUGUUUUAUUACCACUGAACUUUUUUGAAAAUUUUUAAUUGAAUCAUGAUUAUGAACUUUCUCUUCUGAAUCGUCCAAAUAGAACCAUCUUCCAGAUUUGUUAUAUGUACGUUCUCUUUCCUUAGAGAGGGUUUUGUUAUGAGUAAUUGGCUCUUGCCUGAAUUGUGUCUCUUGACCUACUGCAAGCUUCCUUCCAAACACAUAGUCAGAAUCCCAAUUUUCUCUGAAACUGGAACACUCAAGUUUAGUGUUUGAGGUUCUGUCUGUUACCCCUUCAGCAUAUGAAUCUUGCUUUGGAAAUAAUUCCUGGGUCUCACGUACAGAUCGCUGGCCUGAAAGAUACCAAGAAAACACAUAUUUCCUUUUUCGUGUGCUAGGAAAAAGGAAUCUGCCAAAAGGAAAACUAGUGAAUUAAUUCACUAA